GGGAGUGGGGCGCGGGACGAAGGGUGGGGGCCGCGGCGGGCGGGCGGCUUCCUCGCCUGACCCCCGACCCCCUCGCCCGGCCCCUGGGCGAGAGCCGGCCAGGGAACUCUGGAAUUGGACAAAUGAGCACUUACUCAGCAUAUCCCCCUCCCGUAGGUCUUGUUGACCUUGGUAGCUUCAUGGAGGUCGUGUGUUCGUGGAAAUGAACAGUUCUUGACAGUUUACUCCAGUGGGACAUUCCUCUGGAUAUUUAUGGCUUUUAAAAAUAAAGCUUCUAACAACAUCUAUGUGUAUGUCUUUGUAUGGACAUGUACUUUUCAUUUUUCUGUGUAUACACCUAGGAGUGAAAUGGCUGAAUCAUAUGAACUGUUUUUGCUAGUCGAGGUCCUCUGCAUUUCCUUAUGGUUUUUAGAGUAAGUUUAUUGAUUUUUUAAAAAAGCCUACUUGAGAUUUUGGCUGAGAUUGCAUUGAAUCUAUAGGUCUAUUUGGAAAUAAUUGACAUUUUAGAAAUACUGAGUCUCUGACCCAUGAACAUGAUAUAGCAUCUAUUUAGGGUUUCUUUAAUUUUUCUCAGCAAUAUUUGGUAGUUUUUAGGGUACAAGUCUUUUAUAUUGUGGUCACAUAUAUCCAUCUGUAAGUUCAGUUCUCUAGAGAAACAGAACCAAUAUAGGUGUGUAUGGUGAACAAUAUGUGUGUAUGUGUAUGGAGAGAGAAAGAGAGAGAGACUGAUUUUAAUAAGUUGGCUUGUGUGAUUGUGGUGGCUGACAUGUCCAAAAUUCAUAGGACAGGCAGAGAGGCAGGCAGGCAGGCAGGCAGGCAGGCUAGAGCUUCAGGCAGAUUUCUGUUAUAGUCUUGAGGUAAAAUUCCUUCUUCCCAGGGAAACCUUAGUAUUUUGCUUUUAAGGCUUUGAACUGAUAGGCCUACUGGCAUUAUGAAGGGUAGCUUCUUUCUUUAAUGUCAACUGAUUGUAAGCAUUAAUCACGUCUACAAAAUACCUUUACAGCAAUAUCUAGACUAGUGUUUGACUGAACAGCUGGGCACUGUAGCCUAGCCAGGACAACACAUUUAAUGCUGUUAUAAAUGUUACAUAUUUUAAGUGCAAUUUCUGAUUGUUACUAGUUCACUAUUUCUUUUAUUUUUAAACUAUAGCCUUCUUUUCAUUACUCUUAAACAGAUGAGUGACAGUCUUUUCAUCCUAAAUUAGGAUUACCCUCCAUCUUUUUUAGACAUAACCUUAAAAAUAUGAAUUUUUAAAGGAAAGUCCUAAGGUUUCUUAAUCUCUUAAUUUUUUGUUUAUUAGAAUCAUCUGACAGAAAUUGCAGUUUCAUUUUAACAGUCUUAUCUCAUUUUAGCCAGCUUUCCUGUUAUUUUUUUCAUCGCAGGAUUAUAAUAAUCCAUAAAUAAUUUAGAGAUUAAAAUAAUUAUUGACCAUAUAGAGGCAUUCAGUAAAUAUUAACAGAUGUCUGUUACUAGAAUAUAUUCCAUUACAGAAUCAUGGAAUUAUUGAGCUAAAUGAACCUUAAGAAUUAGUCUUAAUUUUUUCCUUUUAUAGAAGAAGGAACUUAUGCAAAGAGGUUAAGUGGCUCACAUCAUAUAAACAUUAGAAAAAUAAAAAUAAACCUGGUUUUCAUUAUCCUCCUAGUUGUAGGAUGACAGGUUCUUGAACCAAAAUGUGCAACAAGGGAAAAGAUAGUGACAUCUAUUUGCUUUGUAUCUGCUGCAUUCUCUGUUGCUCAUUUAUUUUACACCUAUGUUAUUUCACACUUAUCCUGGGACUCAGGAUAUUGGGAUUUGUCAAACAGUUCCUCCUUUAGUGUGGAAACAGACAAGUUAACACACAGUUGCCAUGUAAGUUAAAUGCUAUGAUAAAGGCAAGGUUAGCAUGUUGUAGGAGUACCUAAUGGGUAUGUCUGCUCAGUGGUUCUAAGUUUAGAUUCUAUUAACAUAUAGAGUUGAAUGAGCUUGGCUCCUCAUUUCAAUGUAGUAUAUAUUAUAUUUCCUUUCCUGUACUUUUUUUGCCUCCCAGCCAUAGAUCUGGACUAAACAUAAGCUAGUUUGAAGGCUAUACAUACAUCAGGCCCAGUGGGUUAAUCCAUGCCUGACCAAUAAGACCUAUCUUUACAGCCAGCAUGAGGGCAGCAUGACUUAUUUUAAAUAGAAGCCCAGUUAGAGACUCAUGUAAGAAUAGUUGAUCUUGAAUAGAUGUAUUCCUUCUCUUAAAUGAUGCAUAUUUUAUUCUUAAUUUUGAAAAAUUCUGAAAGGAAAUUGAGCAGUAAUCUUUUUGUUUGUUAAUUUUGGCUUGUUUUCCCUUUACUGUUUUCUACUUUGAGGUGUGGCCAUUUCUAAGAGCACUAGCACAUGAAGUUCAUUGUUGAUGUUAUAACAUGUUCUGAAUCUUAAAAUAAGGUACCAAAAAUGCAUUCAGAGAAUAACUAGAUAAAGUAGCACUGCUAUAAUUAGGGAGAAACAGUAGUUUUCUUUUAAGUCUUUCUCUUUCAAGAGCUUAUAAUUUUCUAUAAAACUCAAACAUUAUCCCCUGGGCAGGUGUAUUUUAUUCUUGCUCUUCAUUCUGUUAUAAAGUUUGAUUUAAAAAGAAUAGUUAUUUUUUUCUCCUACACAAGGUAUGUUCAUAUUUGAAUUUUUUUUAAGACUCAUUGCUGUAUCCUGAGCCUGCCUUCAUUUAAAGAAUAAUAUAUUUGAUCUACAAAGGAGUAUCUUUGACAUGUAUGUGUGUGUAUAAAUUAAAACUUGAAAAUAUGGCAUACAUUGUUGAGAAUAUUAAGUGAUUCCUGAAGACUAUACUAUAUUUGCUCAGAGUAUUAGAUAGCAACCAGUUUUAACAGUCUAAUGUGGUAAGUGAUAUGGCAUUACCACCUCUUGGAUCAUGUGAGCAUAAAACUAUCCAUCUCCAUUAUCCAUCUCCUGAGUUUAUGAAGAAGAAAGUGAGAAUCUUAGAAAUUUGAACUGAGAAAAUUGGACUCAAGUUAGCAGUUUAAAAUGUGAAACCAAAUUGUGUAUGAGUUAGUUUUCUCCUCUUUAUUUUGUGCAGAUUAAAGAACUGAACUAUAUAAGGAUUUUCCAUGAAAAGGUGAAUAAGCUUUCUGAAAUGAAUGAUUUUAGUCUGUAUAGAAAUCAUCUCCAGCUGUAAUAAAUGUAAAACUGUCAGCUCUUUGAAUAUCUCUUUGCAACAAUUAAUCAUCCUUCUCAGUUUACGGCACAGGUGAGAGAACACUCUGUGUAUGUUGCUUUCUGUCUCACGUUCCUCAUUUACAAAAAGAAGAUAAUAUUGGUACCUGCCUUAUAGUGUUCUUGCAAGGAUUAAAUGAGUUAAUAUAUGUAAAGCGUAUAGCAUAUUACCUCAAACAUAGCAGUAUUUAAGUGUUUAUCAUUUUUAUUGUUGCAUAUCUAUUCUAUUUUUAUUGUUGCAUGUCAUAUUUAAGUGAAGUUUUGUUAGUGAAGUUUUCGCAGAGAACUUGACAUUUGAACUGGGUAAACAGAACUUAUAAAAGUAAAAUAUAAAGAAUUGAAAAUAUUAAAAGCUUUGUGAACAAAGUUGUUAAGAAGUAAAGAAUCUUUCCCCUUUUUUCUCUUUCCAUUUAUUGCAUACUUGCUAUAUGCCUGCCACUGAGCUCAGUGUUUGAUGAACAUUACAUUAUAUUAUUUAAUUCUCACAAUAACCCUACAAGAUAGGUAUUUUAAAUUGUCAUUUUACAUGUAGGAAGGUAGCCACAGAAAAAUAAAGUCACUUUUUCAAAGUCACAAAGUUAAAUGUUUGGCCUAGUUCUGUCAGUUUGUAUAGCCCCGGUUCUUAGUUAUUAUUUAAUACUGCCUUCCUAGGAAUAGACUAUCAGAAGAUCAUUCCAAAAAAAUCUUUAAAAAGAUGAAUACUCCAGGGUUGGAGUUCAAAACAUUAAUAGAAUUAUAAUAUCAAGGAUGCAUGUGAUCGCUUUGUCACUGUAAGAGAUUGGAUGCUGUGUUUGCUAGUUGCUUCAAAAGAUUGAAGAGAAACAGGCAAGCCUGUCCUUGCUGAAUACAUCGUUUCCUCUGUGAUUCUGUCAGUAUGCAAGUACUUUUUUUUUCUGAACUGGGAAUGAUGGUAUUGUGGUUAUUGAAGUUUUUAUUAUCUCUUACUAGAAAUUAUACAAAUUUUCCCAAUAGUAUUUUGGUUGAUACUUUGGAUUUCAAAGUUUCCACAUACUUUUGUUUCUUAGAAUUGCUGUUUGAGUACCCUUUUUAGUUCCCUGCAUCAGAGAAAUGUCUAUAUUUCUACUUUCCAGUCUUCAGCAUUUAUGGUUUCAUGUUAGUGAGGUUUGUUUAGAAUAUAAUUAGAAUAAUCUUAAAUCUGUUACUGAUUGUGCCUUCCAUCCCUUAGCUACUUGUCAUAUCUUUCUUUUGAAACUUUUAAGGAAUAAUUCCAUACUCAUUCUUUUUCUGUUCACAUAUCUCACUGCUGUUAUUCAGACUUUAAUUUUAAGGCCAGAAGCAGUGGCUCAUGCCUGUAAUCCCAGCGCUUUGGGAGGCCAGUGGGAGGAUCUCUUGAGGUCAGGAAUUCAAGACUAGAUUUUAAUUUUAAAUUUUUUUGUCUUUGUAUAUUAAUUCCUUUCAUUAAUUAGCUGACAGUAGUUUUUCUCACCUAUGUUUUUUAAUGCCUUUCUUUACUGUUUAAAACUCCCAUUUUCAGAAGAUGUAGCCAAUGACUCAGGUGCUGUUCUUGCUUCAGACUUUUGUAAGACUAGAAUCUAGAAUCUUGAUAACUAAGAUCUUUCUCUAGAAUUUAUAUAUUUCCUUCUGCUUUUAAAAGGGAAGAACAUAUGGAAACAAAUAAAUAUAAGAGAUUUUGCCAAAAAUUAAAAAAUAAAACCCCAAAACAUUCAAGAUUUGUCAGUGAACAUUUAAUACCUGUUAUAAGAAAUUAUGAAGAUUUUUACCUUUAAGUAAAUCUCAUCUCUGUCCUUUUUUAAAAAAAUAAAUUAUCCACCAUGAGGCAGACCUCUAUGAUCCUAAACUAUUACAGUGACCUUAUAGCUAGUUGCUUAUCUACAUCACCUACCCCCUUUUCAGAUCAUCAUCUUUUCAGAUCACCAACAGCCUGACAUUUCUUAAACAGUAAUCUAAUUUUGUUGUAUUGUCUUAAAAAUCUUUAUUGGCUCUUUUUUGCCCAUAGUGUUAUCUAAAUCCCUGACAGGCUUCAUCCAAUCUUGCAUGGCUCCUUUAGAUUUGUAAGCUCUGUGAGAAUAGGUACCUUACCUAUUCACCACUCUUAUUUCCAUAUCUAGAUCAUUACCUGAAACAGCUGCUUAUUCCUAAACUCUGGCUUCCAAAACUUGUGCAUCUAGUCAGUUACAGGUAUGUUGAGAGUUAGUUAUUGGUGCCUUCUACCUUUGGGAUGACCAGAUGGGUCUUGGCUUGUGAUUCAGAGGGCACCACUAAGAGUUAUUGGAGUUGAGGUCUCUGCAUAAUGAUAAUGAUAUGCUGAGCACAGACAAGAAGAUGUUCUGCAAUCUUGGUAUCUACUUCAGCAACCUGCUUCAGAGUGUACUACUGGCCAUUGUGGAUAAGGGCCCAUAGAGCUGCUGGAGAGUUUAUGUUCCAAGUGCCUGAGGAGCCAGCACAGCAAAAGUGUUACUCCUAGUUGGAAGUUGGGGCUGGAAGCUAUAGAGGCCAGGCAGGGGUUCUAGACUAUAGGCAGAAAUCUCAACUGUGUCUUCGCAUAUGUUGAAUGUAUUUGGAACAUUUGUGGCUGAUACUUCUUUAGUGGCAUUCAAGUUAGCCAUAGUGUGGCCAGUAUAACAUCGUGUGUUCAUCUGCAGUUUAUUUUUAAAUCAUUUGAUAUUGAUAUGAACUUGGUAUGAAGAUGUUCAAAUGAUUUUGAAAUCUUGCCAAUGAAAUAGAAGACUUUUUGGAUGUUUAAAUAUAAUUUUAACUAUUGUAUUUGACUAAAAUAAAAUAAAUGAUUGUUUUUCAAUGAGCAAAUAAGUUAAAGUACCAAAGAUUUGAAGGAAAAUGUGACCUCUUCCAGGAACAGCAGUCAGGCUUUAUGAAUGAUAAAUUUGUAGGAGAAUCAUUUAUCUCUUUUGUCUAUAGAAGAGGACUUUUUUUCAAGAAUGGCAUUAAGUAGAUUAUUUACAAAAAACGCUUGAAAGUAGAAUAUUUAAAACUAAAUAAAUGUAAAUAGACAAUUUCUGAAAAAUAAAACUUCUGAAAUUAGCUAAGUAGUAAGCACACUUCAGAGCAUGGUAUCAAUUUGAGGCUAUAUGCAUGCUCUCCAUGUCACUAAGGUUCACAGAAUAUCUAGGUUUCUUAAAUCCUUAUUUGGUGAAAUCUCUUUUUGCUUAUACAUUGAGACUAGAGUUGGCAAUUUUUCACCAGAUGUGGAUUUUGAAAAUUAAGUAUACUUCUUGAAAUGUGGGUUGCAUUAUAGCAAUGUAUUUAUAUGGUGCUACUCUCCAGGUUUACAGGAAACUUAAAUGUUAAUAGUUUGACUUACAUAUGAAUCAUGGAAAUCACUCUGGAAUCUAUACUGGUUGUCAUUUUUGUUUUAGGUGCAGGUUGUGGUGUUUACUUAAGUCUCCUAAACAGAGUUUGGAAUCUCUGCACACUCUGUUAUCUGAAGGAAGGAAAAGACUCUGCUCUUCAGUUCCUUCUUGCUGCUGCUAGAACUUUCAAUGUGCACGACUUUGAGAAUUUAAAAAGGUGCUGGCUACCAUUCAACUUACUAUCAGUUUUGAUUGUAGUCAGUGAAUUUUGAAAAAAAUUCUGAAUGCCCUGUAGUUGAAUAAAAAAUAUUUGAUCCUUUUGCCCAAAGCACUCCCCUACUCUACUUCCCCUUUAGGUUUGAAGCAUUCCUAUGCAGACAGUUUUGGAUAAGUACCUAACAAAUCAGCGUUUAUGUAAAUAUAUGGCACCCAUAUUACAGGAAGGUGUAUUGUCUUUGUUGAGAAUAGUAAUGGAGAAAACAUAAUCAUGGAAAUGAUAAAGUCAAUUAUCCAUUAAUGCAUCCUGGGGUUUUAAUAUUACCUUUGCCCCCAACCUAUAAUGCAACAUGCAUUUAGUUCAUAAUAUCACUACUACAUUUUUAAUGAAAUUUUUUUCAGCUUUGAUCUUUAAUCACAGUUAAGGUGAUCAGUUCAUCCUUGUUUGUCCAGGGCUUUCCUGGUUUUGAAACUCAAAAUCCCCUGUCCAGGGAACCCUGUCAGUCCUGAACCGAGAUUGCUUUCUGUGAAAUACUUUUAUUUUCCUUAAGUGUUGUAAAUAACCCUACCCAUUAUAUAAAUAAUGCAGGAAAUAAUGACGAAAGUGCUCAGUCCUAGACUCAGAGGAUUCUCUGGACAAGGGAUUUUGAGAUAGAGUGUCUUGUGAAGUAUUUUUUUCUUGUUUUUAUUUUCUUGUAAUUAGUAAUGUGGGUGUUUUCUCCUCUGUUACCAGUUUUCCAAUUCCUUGUGAAUUCUUGCUUUCUGGCAAGUUCUUUCUCCCUGUUACCCCC